GUGGGGAAUAUUGGACAAUGGGCGCAAGCCUGAUCCAGCCAUGCCGCGUGAGUGAUGAAGGCCUUAGGGUUGUAAAGCUCUUUUGUCCGGGAAGAUAAUGACUGUACCGGAAGAAUAAGCACCGGCUAACUUCGUGCCAGCAGCCGCGGUAAUACGAAGGGUGCAAGCGUUAUCCGGAUUCAUUGGGUUUAAAGGGUGCGUAGGCGGAGCGUUAAGUCAGUGGUGAAAUCCUGCAGCUUAACUGUAGACUUGCCAUUGAUACUGGCGCUCUUGAGUGCGCUUGAAGUGGGCGGAAUGUGCCGUGUAGCGGUGAAAUGCUUAGAUAUGGCACAGAACACCAAUUGCGAAGGCAGCUCACUAAGGCGAUACUGACGCUGAGGCACGAAAGCGUGGGGAUCGAACAGGAUUAGAAACCCUGGUAGUCC
rnacentral:rRNA from 1 species